rnacentral:rRNA from 1 species
GUAGGGUGCAAGCGUUAUCCGGAAUUAUUGGGCGUAAAGCGAUCACAGGUGGACAAGCAGGUCCGGUGUUAAAUACCCACGGCUCAACCGGGGUGCCGCAUCGGAAACCGUUUGACUAGAGGAAGACAAAGGCAGGUGGAAUUUCCAUUGUAGGGGUUAAAUCCGUAGAUAAUGGAAGGAACACCAAAAGCGAAGGCAGCCUGCUGGGUCUUUCCUGACACUGCUUGAUCGAAAGCGUGGGGAGCGAAAGGGAUUAGAUACCCCUGUAGUCCACGCCGUAAACGAUGGAUACUCGAUGUUCGGAGGUUCAAUCCCUCUGAGUGUCUCAGCUAACGCGUUAAGUAUCCCGCCUGGGGAGUACGGCCGCAAGGCUA